CAGUAGCCGCGGGAAUACGAAGGGGGCUAGCGUUGUUCGGAUUUAUUGGGCGUAAAGGGCUCGCAGGCGGUUUCUUAAGUCUGAUGUGAAAGCCCCCGGCUCAACCGGGGAGGGUCAUUGGAAACUGGGAAACUUGAGUGCAGAAGAGGAGAGUGGAAUUCCACGUGUAGCGGUGAAAUGCGUAGAGAUGUGGAGGAACACCAGUGGCGAAGGCGACUCUCUGGUCUGUAACUGACACUGAGGCACGAAAGCGUGGGGAGCAAACAGGAUUAGAUACCCCGGUAGUCCCUGUCUCUUAUAC
rnacentral:rRNA from 1 species